UCCCACCUCCUACAACGGAAUGGAUUCGGACCGAAUCAUUUUUUUGUAUUUUUUAUUUUUCUUACCACUUCAUUCGGAGCGGAUCAGGACGGAAGCGAAUUUUUUAUAAAUAUUUGACGAAUCGAAACCGAUUGAAGAAAGAAAAUAAUUUCUUUACUUCAUUUACUUAGCGGAUUGAAACGAAUUAACAACAAACUACAUUUUUCUAUAUUUUUUAUUUUUAUUUAUCGCCCUAUUCGGAACGGAUUGAUGCGGGAGCUCCACCGGACCAAAUCCAUUUGCAU
rnacentral:lncRNA from 1 species